rnacentral:tRNA from 1 species
AGUGUCAAGGGAUGGGAAUCGAACCCACGACCUUCCGCUUACCGGGCAGAUGCCAUGACCACUAGGCCACGUGACC